rnacentral:sRNA from 1 species
UUUCUGCUCUUCUCAGUUUUAUCUCUUUCAUUCUCAUUAAUCUUUCUUUCUCUUUCUACACUGAUUUUUCUUUUUUACUUAUUCUUUGAGAAGUUCUAUACAUCUUCUGCAGUCUCUCUCUCUAUUCUCCCCAUCUCUCUUCUUCUUUCACUGUCUUCAUCAAAAUGUGUUUUCAUAUGCAAGUGUUGUACAAUAUAAUCUGCUUCAUCAGCUAUUCAUUCAUUGCAUUUCUUGCUCAGAAAAGAAGAUACAUAUUCAAGAUAGUCUGAACAGCA